AGAGUUUGAUCCUGGCUCAGGAUGAUCGCUAGCGGCAGGCUUAAUACAUGCAAGUCGAGGGGCAGCACGAAUAGCAAUAUUUGGUGGCGACCGGCAAACGGGUGCGGAACACGUACAGAACCUUCCUUUAAGUGGGGAAUAGCCCAGAGAAAUUUGGAUUAAUACCCCGUAACAUUAUGAAGUGGCAUCACCUUAUAAUUAUAGAUUUAUCGCUUAGAGAUGGCUGUGCGGCUGAUUAGGUAGUUGGUAAGGUAACGGCUUACCAAGCCUGCGAUCAGUAACUGGUGUGAGAGCACGACCAGUCACACGGGCACUGAGACACGGGCCCGACUCCUACGGGAGGCAGCAGUAAGGAAUAUUGGUCAAUGGACGCAAGUCUGAACCAGCCAUGCCGCGUGAAGGAUGAAGGUCCUCUGGAUUGUAAACUUCUUUUAUCUGGGACGAAACACUCUUAUUCUUAAGAGCUUGACGGUACCAGAGGAAUAAGCACCGGCUAACUCCGUGCCAGCAGCCGCGGUAAUACGGAGGGUGCAAGCGUUAUCCGGAUUCACUGGGUUUAAAGGGUGCGUAGGUGGGUCUGUAAGUCAGUGGUGAAAUCUUCGAGCUUAACUCGGAAACUGCCAUUGAUACUAUAGAUCUUGAAUUUUCUGGAGGUAAGCGGAAUAUGUCAUGUAGCGGUGAAAUGCUUAGAUAUGACAUAGAACACCAAUUGCGAAGGCAGCUUACUACGGGAACAUUGACACUGAGGCACGAAAGCGUGGGGAUCAAACAGGAUUAGAUACCCUAGUAGUCC
rnacentral:rRNA from 1 species